rnacentral:lncRNA from 1 species
AUUUGAGGCCUGCCGGAGUCACAUAGCAAGUUCCAGGCCAGCCUACCACAGAGUGAUACCCUGGUUCACAAAAAGGCAGGAAAUGAUACAGGACAAGAGAUCUAUUCUUCAACAGAGAGAUUGGACAAGGAGGAGAAGAGAGAGAGAGAGCCUUCUACAGAGGUGUUCAGAAUGAGGAAGGAGAGGGACAGGGCUGGCUUGUAGGACAGCUCAGGAAGGCCUGGAGACAACUGGGGGCACAGCAUGUUUGAGCAUCAAGAGUUUACCUGUCUGGGAAUAUCUACAGCUCAAGAACUACGCUGACAUUGGCAGAAACAGCCUGGAGACAUUUGCAGAGGGGCUGUUGAGUGCAAGGAAAAUGAAUCUAGCAACGCAUGGGUAUAAGUCCUGACAUCUGUAAUUGCCAUGGGGCUCUGGCCAUCUAUGGUCUUUACUUUUGGGGGGACACAAAGGCCCAGCUGCCAUAGCAUUUAGGGAGGUGACUUAACUUCUACAAGUAUCUUAGGAUCAAAUGAGAAAAAUCAUAGUUCAGCACAUGGCCUAGUGCCAGCCCAUGGGGGCUGCCAUGGGAUUGCUGGGGAGAGAAUGAGAUCCAGUAUGGGAUGUGCCCAUAGUCACUCAGUGUGGCCACCUCUAAUAUUGUUAUUCUGUGGACAUAACAAGAGCCUGCAAUGCAAACACUCUAGCAGUGAAACUAAACCCAGGUACCCCAGAAGAAGCCUAUGUACAGUGAGUCUCAGGACAGUCGGGGAUACAUAGUAAGACUCUGUCUUUUAAACAAAUAAGGCAGAAGGAGCUGCAUAGACAGACAGUUCACGACCAGCUUGGGCUUCACAGAGAGGGAUGAGGGGGCAGAGAUGGAGGGGAGGACCGUAGGAAGCUGGUACAGUGAUGCUCACCUAUAAUUUCAUCAUUCAGAGGCUGAGGCAGCGAUAUCACAAGUUUGAGACCAGCCUGAGCCACAGACUGAAUUUAUCCAGA